rnacentral:lncRNA from 1 species
UGCAAAAGGUGAUUGGAAGCUCCAAGAGAUGUAGCCAGGGAUUGUGUGCUGUGGUCUUCUGAGCAGUGAGGCCAAGGGGAAUCCUGAGAGCAGCUUCAAUGAUGAAAAUCUGCGCUUGGUGGUGAUUGACCUGUUCAUGGCGGGGAUGGUGACCACCUCAACCACACUGUCCUGGGCCCUUCUGCUCAUGAUCCUGCAUCCAGAUGUGCAGCGUGAGCCUGGCUGUGGAUGGGAGGGAGGUCAGGGGAAGAAAGGCAGAGGUAUUUGAGAAACUAGUGGUUCCUGCCUUAGCUUGACGUAGUUUCCCAUGUGUCUGGUAUGAGCCCUAUCUAUCUUACUAACCCAGUGGUAGAAGUUGAAGGAUGAGCUCCUUUCGCUGAAGAGAUGCCAUCUAUCUAGGCCGAGUCCACGAGGAGAUUGAUGAGGUCAUAGGGCAGGUGCGUCGUCCAGAGAUGGCAGACCAGGCACGAAUGCCGUUCACCAAUGCUGUCAUCCAUGAGGUGCAGCGCUUUGCAGACAUCGUCCCGACAAAUAUACCACAUAUGACAUCCCGAGACAUUAAAUUCCAAGGCUUCCUCAUCCCCAAGGUAGGCAUACACACUCUGUUCCCAGAAUCCACAAUACGCAAACAAGGGAAUGGAAUCAACCUGGGUGUGAGUACAUUGGAGCCAUUACCCAAGAUCCCCUGGAGAAGAGGACAUCCAGUGAAAUGAGCUGUAGGGGUGGUAGGAAGAGCUGCAGAUAGGAGCUUUGUAACAAGGGUUUGAAUGGACCAGAGAAGGUUCUGGGAGGCUCUGGGUUUGAGGUUUAAUAAAAGGAUCCAGUGUGUAAGGUAGAGACAAUGCAUGAGAACUUGGUGGCCAGUGUCUAGGCAGCUCCAACCCAGUCCAUUUUCACACCAUAUGCCCUCUUACCAGGGGACAACCCUCAUCCCCAACCUGUCCUCCGUGCUGAAGGAUGAGACCGUCUGGGAGAAGCCCCUCCGCUUCCAUCCAGAACACUUCCUGGAUGCCCAGGGCAACUUUGUGAAGCAUGAGGCCUUCAUGCCAUUCUCAGCAGGCCGCAGAGCAUGCCUGGGGGAGCCCCUGGCCCGCAUGGAGCUCUUCCUCUUCUUCACCUGCCUCCUGCAGCGCUUCAGCUUCUCGGUGCUGGCCGGCCGGCCCCGGCCCAGCACCCAUGGCGUCUACGCAUUGCCAGUUACUCCACAGCCUUACCAACUCUGUGCAGUGGCUCGCUAGCAGGGGCAGGGGCUCCAUUCUUCUCCCCGGUUUGGUCUGAUUGAUGUCCAAUAAACAACUUCUGUAUCUU